rnacentral:rRNA from 1 species
UCUCCUGGGAAACGGGUGGUAAUGCCGGAUGCUCCGACUCCUCGCAUGGGGUGUCGGGAAAGAUUUCAUCGGUAUGGGAUGGGGUCGCGUCCUAUCAGGUAGUCGGCGGGGUAACGGCCCACCGAGCCUACGACGGGUAGCCGGCCUGAGAGGGCGACCGGCCACAUUGGGACUGAGAUACGGCCCAGACUCCUACGGGAGGCAGCAGUGGGGAAUAUUGCACAAUGGGCGCAAGCCUGAUGCAGCGACGCCGCGUGCGGGAUGACGGCCUUCGGGUUGUAAACCGCUUUUGAUCGGGAGCAAGCCUUCGGGUGAGUGUACCUUUCGAAUAAGCACCGGCUAACUACGUGCCAGCAGCCGCGGUAAUACGUAGGGUGCAAGCGUUAUCCGGAAUUAUUGGGCGUAAAGGGCUCGUAGGCGGUUCGUCGCGUCCGGUGUGAAAGUCCAUCGCUUAACGGUGGAUCUGCGCCGGGUACGGGCGGGCUGGAGUGCGGUAGGGGAGACUGGAAUUCCCGGUGUAACGGUGGAAUGUGUAGAUAUCGGGAAGAACACCA